AUUGAACGCUGGCGGCAGGCCUAACACAUGCAAGUCGAGCGAGCGGCGGACGGGUGAGUAAUGUAUGGGGAAAGCCCGCUAGAGGGGGAUAACUACUGGAAACGGUAGCUAAUAACGCAUACUAUCGGAUAACCCAUAUGGGAUUAGCUAGUUGGUGGGGUAAUGGCUCACCAAGGCGACGAUCCCUAGCUGGUCUGAGAGGAUGAUCAGCCACUCUGGGACUGAGACACGGCCCAGACGCCUACGGAGGCAGCGGUGGUGAAUAUUGCACAAUGGGCUCAAGCCUGAUGCAGCCAUGCCGCGUGUAUGAAGAAGGCCCUAGGGUUGUAAAGUACUUUCAGUCGGGAGGCGUUACCGGCAGAAGAAGCACCGGCUAACUCCGUGCCAGCAGCCGCGGUAAUUC
rnacentral:rRNA from 1 species